rnacentral:rRNA from 1 species
GGGUUGUGAGGUUAAGCGACUAAGCGUACACGGUGGAUGCCCUGGCAGUCAGAGGCGAUGAAGGACGUGCUAAUCUGCGAUAAGCGCCGGUAAGGUGAUAUGAACCGUUAUAACCGGCGAUUUCCGAAUGGGGAAACCCAGUGUGAUUUGUCACACUAUCAUUACGUGAAUACAUAGCGUAAUGA